rnacentral:lncRNA from 10 species
GGAAGUAUGGCGGCCGCUCGAACGCCGCGCGGCGGAGGCCAUUAAGGCGUGGACGGCCCGGAAGGCGGCCUAGGGACGCAAGCAGGCUUGGCCGCCUCUUUCGGCCACGGAGCCGCGCAGAUCCGGUUCCCGGGUGACCACUCUGUCGCCAUUGGGCGAGACCUACCUAGUCCUGACGACAACGGACAAAGGCCUUAAGGGGCCUGAAAGCAACCUCCAGUCCUGCAAGCUUCAUUCCUGAAUGGUAGAAAGCAGUCUUCAGCCUGAGACCCAUCCCUAGACUCUAUGGCACAAAGAGGCACUACAGAAAAUCCCAGAAUUUAUUCUGACUGAAGCAAUAUGCAACUGGCAAAACUGGCAGCUGAAAGGAUCCUGAAUAAGAAGGAUUUUAAAUGCCGUUUUGGCACAGGAUGUCAGAGCACAAGCAUGGUGAAGAGGAAUCUGUGUCAGGAAGAAGGUGGAAGAGAUAUGACAUUGGUCAAACAGAGAAUUGAUAAAAUAAGAAAACAAGUUGAAAAACUAAAACAAAACCAG